GACGAACGCUGGCGGCGCGCUUAACACAUGCAAGUCGAACGGAAAGGCCUGCUUUCCCUUGUGGAUUGCGGGUACUCGAGUGGCGAACGGGUGAGUAACACGUGAGUGAUCUGCCCCCAACUUGGGUAUAAGCCUGGGAAACUGGGUCUAAUUCCCGAUAGGGCUGCAGGGUGGUGCCUGUGGUGGAAAACGAUUUUCUAGUGGUUGGGGAUGAGCUCGCGGCCUAUCAGCUUGUUGGUGGGGUAAUGGCCUACCAAGGCGGCGACGGGUAGCCGGCCUGAGAGGGUGGACGGCCACAUUGGGACUGAGAUACGGCCCAGACUCCUACGGGAGGCAGCAGUGGGGAAUAUUGCACAAUGGGCGGAAGCCUGAUGCAGCGACGCCGCGUGGGGGAUGACGGCCUUCGGGUUGUAAACUCCUUUCGACCGCGAGGAAGCCACCUGGUUGGAAGGGUGGUGACGGUAGUGGUAGAAGAAGCACCGGCUAACUACGUG
rnacentral:rRNA from 1 species